UCCAGAGAAGUGUCAAAAGGGAAGUUGUUUCCAGAUGUGAAAUUGAGCCAAGGAGCUUUUGUUAUUCUAUGUUAUUCUCACAGAUGAUGGCGAGUAGUUGCUCCUGGUGUACAGUAUGAAUGUCUUUGUUAUAUAGGCAUCACUUUGUGUCAAAUCAUCAAAUCAUCUCCAAUAUUACACUGUACUCUAGAUAUAGACAUAUAAGGCACAGAAAUGGUUAAAAAGAAGAGCAGAAGUGAAGUGGUCAUGUUUGGUUCGCCUACAUCAAACCCCUUGUUCAACAUGGAACCUAAAGGGCCACAUUGCUCCGAAACCACAUCAUGGAACCAUAACUUGAGGUUUAAUAACCUAUUUGCUCUGUGAGUUUCAGAACCGUCUGGGUGUUUUGAAAAAACAGAAGAAGAAGGAGCCACAAUGGCAGCCAGUCUGCACUCUGAACCCUGAUGUGGGGCAGAAGACGCAGACCUGGUUCAACGUGUGAUGUCGUGCAGCAGCUCCUGAGAUCCUUUUUACCGGAGGAUGAUUACGGGGGCCCAGGCGGUUUCCCAGAAGCCGCAGCAGCUACGUGGAUAGUGGCGAAGGUUGUGACACAUGGGAGCUGCUGAGUAACACUGCCUCCUGCUGCCAGGGCUCACGAGCUAACAGACCAUGAAGACACGCAGGCUUUCACAAUAUCAUAUCUUUCACUGGGGGGGAUGCGUCAUAAUCCCCAAACCCAUCGUGCAUCUAUAGAGUAAAGCAUUAUCACACCAUAUGCUCUGGAAACCAUUGUACCUUGCUUAUGCAGUCUACGUACGAAGAUGGUGAUUAAUACACAUGCAGGAAAACAAACAAUUACAUAUUUGUUUAGUAGUUUAUUCUCUGAAAAAAAACUGUAUCCUGUCUAAUGCUUUGGGAAAAAGUAUUAAACAAGCAUCCCACUGUAUAAUUAGUGCCCAGUAUGUACACGCAAAUUAAUUCGGCUGCAGCCGUGCCCUGUUAGAAAACACCACAGCAUGCAGAGAGUCGCCCGAACCCAGCGCGUCUCGUGGACGCCGUGUCAAUAGAAGAACGCCCGUCGCUGGAGACAGGUGGGCACACGAUCACGCCCUGGCCAUAGAAAGUCAAUCCAGUCGGCGCUAAUCCUGGAUACACUGGUUUGCUUGCACAGGACGGGAGGGCAGUGUCCUGUUUAUCUUCUGACUGCUGCUCACCGCAAACU
rnacentral:lncRNA from 1 species